rnacentral:rRNA from 1 species
UACGUAGGGGCUAGCGUUGUCCGGAAUCAUUGGGCGUAAAGCGCGUGUAGGCGGUCCGGUAAGUCCGCUGUGAAAGUCGGGGGCUCAACCCUCGGAUGCCGGUGGAUACUGUCGGGCUUGAGUACGGAAGAGGCGAGUGGAAUUCCUGGUGUAGCGGUGAAAUGCGCAGAUAUCAGGAGGAACACCAAUUGCGAAGGCAGCUCGCUGGGACGUUACUGACGCUGAGACGCGAAAGCGUGGGGAGCAAACAGG